rnacentral:rRNA from 1 species
GACGAACGCUGGCGGCGUGCUUAACACAUGCAAGUCGAGCGGAAAGGCCCUUCGGGGUACUCGAGCGGCGAACGGGUGAGUAACACGUGAGCAACCUGCCCCAUGCUUUGGGAUAACCCUCGGAAACGGGGGCUAAUACCGAAUAUUCACACACUGUCGCAUGGUGGUGUGUGGAAAGUUUUUCGGCGUGGGAUGGGCUCGCGGCCUAUCAGCUUGUUGGUGGGGUAAUGGCCUACCAAGGCGACGACGGGUAGCCGGCCUGAGAGGGCGACCGGCCACACUGGGACUGAGACACGGCCCAGACUCCUACGGGAGGCAGCAGUGGGGAAUAUUGCACAAUGGGCGGAAGCCUGAUGCAGCGACGCCGC